ACGGCGACUGAUCGCGCCGGUGCCUCAAUAGAGGCUUAAAAGGGAAUGCGGUGCGGACGUCCCAAGCGUCCCAAUCCGCGGCUGUCCCUGCAACUGUAAGCGGUGAGCGAGACAUAUAUCGACCUUCCGUGACAAUCGGGGGGCAGCCACUGGGCCGGACGCUAAAUCCUGCGAGGCCCGGGAAGGCCAUGUGUCGAGCGAUGACCCGCAAGCCAGGAGACCUGCCAGCGUCUGGUCGCUCUU
rnacentral:ncRNA from 2 species